UACGAAGGGGGGCUAGCGUUGCUCGGAAUCACUGGGCGUAAAGCGCACGUAGGCGGAUCUUUAAGUCAGGGGUGAAAUCCCAAGGCUCAACCUUGGAACUGCCUUUGAUACUGGGGAUCUCGAGUCCGGAAGAGGUUGGUGGAACUGCGAGUGUAGAGGUGAAAUUCGUAGAUAUUCGCAAGAACACCAGUGGCGAAGGCGGCUCACUGGCCCGAUACUGACGCUGAGGUGCGAAAGCGUGGGGAGCAAACAGGG
rnacentral:rRNA from 1 species